ensembl:lncRNA
GCAAAACCUAAAAAUACUGGCCCUUCACAGAAGCGGUCUUCUGACCGCUGCCUGCCAUUUCCAGUUGGCAUACCUCCACGUGGAUCAUUCACAGGACUGGAUUUACAAGGGAGAGUCCGCUCUGGACACCGUGCUUCCUGUCCCUCUUGUUUGAGCAGCAGGAUGCAGUGUGCGCUCGGCCUCGCCUCUCCCUGCCCCGCGGGCGGCCAGGUCUGCGGUGCUGCGUGGCUCUCCCGGGUCAGCUCCAUAGCUUGUCUCCUCUUCUCUCUCUCUGCUCUCUCUAGCCUUCCCAAUAGACCUUUCCCUCUUUGGCACAUUUGGAAACUGCAGUUGAUAAUUGACUGUGGACUAGUGAGCAUUUUUUGUUUUAAGAAAACACCCAAGGGUCCACCCACAGCAGACCCGGCCUCCCAGCUGAGGAGAGCCCUGGGCGGAACCCAGGAGUUUAACUGCUUGCCAGGAGCCCCAGGUCUGGGGAAUGGACAAGCAUGUGGGGACCUGGAGAGAGCCGAGGAGUUGCUUCCUGCCAGCCUGUCCCCAUCCCCUCCAGGCCACGUUUUAGAUGGCCCUUAUCGAUGCGGGUCCUGGGCUCUCCUCAGCACAGACGUCAGUGCCAAGAGCCUUCAGCAGGUCCUGCCGUCUUUAGGAAAUGGGGGUCAGCUGGGGCACAGCCCUGCAGGCCUGCUUCGGAGGGAAUGAAAAAGCAGAGUCAUCUCGAGGCCCCGGGCCCAGCCUUCUCCCUGUGACAGUGCAGCAUAUUCAUACCUCUUCAGGCCAAGCCGUGAUGUGUGCGCACGGUUACUCCUUUAUGUGGCCGUGACCUGUACUCACUUUGCUUUUAAUUUGCCAACUUUCUGCUGCUGGCAGCACUUUUUGAGCAAACCGAGAGCACCAGUUUUGGCUGGGGGUUCAAAUCCAUGGCCUUGGCCAUAGUGAACUGUUUGGCUUUCCUUACAUUGCCGUGUUUCAAGUGUGUGCCCCAGCGUGUCCCAUGUGCCAAACCUAGAAGCACCAUUACCCACAAGUCUGUCCCCUGGUCCCGCUCCCUCCUGUGGAGGCUGCUUUUCUGACCCAUUCCAGAGCCCUGAGUGCGCGAGCUGGCCCCCAAGGGGACUGAGGAGGCCUGCUCUUUCUGUUUCUCCUCCGCCUGCGGGCUUGGUUGCCACUAACAGUAUUGUCAUUGUACUGUCAUUGUUUUAAGAAGAGGUCACAGGUGGGAGGAAGGGGUCUUUCUGCUGCACCUGAUCCUGUCUUCGUUGCUGGAUCCCAGGGAGAGUAACUGUUAGACCAACCUCGUCCCUUCCUCCCGGGCCUCCGAGGGGUCUGCGUGGCUGUCACGUGCGUGCAGAGCAGCAGGGGAGGGGAGUGUGGUUAUGGACCAGGUGGAUCCCCACCAACUUUCUUUUAAAAAACCGUGAAAUCAAAGUUUUCUUCUAUCUCUGAAACCUUUAGGACUCUGCUUUUUUCCUAUUACUAGCUACGGGGCUUUAGAGAAGUGGGAACAAGAAGGCGUUUGUCUUUCCCUCCUGGUUUCCCUGUGUUUACCUUCCACAGUUCUUCGGCUGUGCAGAAACUGGGGCGGCACAGGGACUGAGGACCGUAGAUCGGACAGGGCGGGGUGAGAUUUCUGGAACCCUUCUCAAAGGAAGUUGGGUCCUUAUCUGGGACCAGUGGGAAUGAAGGCCAGAGAACAUGGUAUGCUCACUCAGAAGUUGUUCUCAAGGAAUUCUCUCCAAGAGCAAACCCAGGUGGGAAACGGAGACGGUAAAAUCUCUCUGCACCAUGCUGGUUCAUAACCUUAGCUGCACGUUGGAAUCGUGGCAAAUGAAAAUAACUGAUACCUGGGGCCCACCCCCCCAGGAUUCUGAUUCAAUCAGUCUGGGCAUCAGGACUUUAUUUUUUGAAAUAGUUUUGGAUUCACAGAAGAGUCCAUGUGCCCUUCAGCCAGCUUCCCCUAAAGUUGACGUCUUAUAUGACUUUGGUACCUUUAUCAAAACUAAAAAAUUAACAUUGGUACAAAACUAGUAACUAAAUUACAGACUUUGUUUGGAUUUUACCAGUUUUCCCAAUAAUGUCCUUUUUCUGUUGCAGGAUCCAAUCCAGGAUACCAAGUCGCAGUUAGAGCUGAUGCUUUUUUCUUUUCAUAACUAAGUUUUUAUUUUGAAAUCAUUACGGAUUCAUAGGAAGUUGCAAGGAUAGAGGUCUCAUGUACCCUUCACGCAGUUUUCCUCAGAGGUUCCAUCUUAUGUAGUUAUAAUACAGUAUCGAGCCAGGAAUUGGACACUGGUGCAAUGUGGGUGUAUAGUUAUAUAUCAUCUUCGCACGUGUAGAUUUGUGUAACCGCCACUGCAAUCUAGAUACAGAGCUGUCCCGUCACCACAAGGAUCUCCCUCCGACUACCCCUUGAGAGCCGCCCCCACCCCUCUGCCACCAUCCCCAGUCCCUGGCAACCACUAAUCUGGUCAUCUCUAUAAUUGUGUCAUUUCAAGAAUGUUGUAUAAAUGGGAUCGUAUAGUGUGUGACCUUUUGGGAUUGGCUUUUUUCACUCGGCAAAUAGUCUGGAGAUUCAGCCAGGUUGUUGCGUGUGUUAACAGUUCGUUCCUUUUGAUUGCUGUGUAGAAUUCCAUGGUAUACUCGUUGUCCUGUUUAAGGACGUCUGGGUGGUUUCCAGUUUUUGGCUAUUCCAAAUAAAGCUGCUAUGAACAUUCAUUACAGGUUUUUGCAUAAACAUUGGUUUUCUUUGAGCUAAAUGUCCAGGAGUACAAUUACCAGGUUGUAUGGUCAUUGCAUAUUUAGGUUUUUAAAAGAAACUGCCAAACCUUUUCAGAGUGGCUGUACAAUUUUAUGUUCCCACCAGCAAAGUAUGAAUGAGUGUUUCUCCAAAUCCUCACCAGCAUCUGGUAUUGUUUUUUAUUUUAGCCAUUCUGGUAAGUAUAUAGUGACAUCUCAUUGUGGUUUUUGUUUGCAUUUCCAUAAUGGGUAAUGUACAUCUUUUCAUGUGCUUUUUUCACUUUGUGAAAUGUCUGUUUAUGUCUUUUGCCCUUUUAUUUUUUUGUGAGGAAGAUUGGCCUUGAGAUAACAAACGUGCCUAUCUUCCUCUGUCUUAUGUGGGACGCCACCACAGCAUGGCUUGAUGAGUGAUGCUAGGUCUGUGCCCAGGAUCCGAACCUGCGAGCCCGGGGCCGCCCAAGUGAAGCGUGUGGACUUAAGUAGUGUGCUGCCCGGCCGGCCUCUCUUUUGCCCAUUUUCUGAUUGGAUUGCUUGGGUUUUUUUACUGUUGAGUUUUGAGAGUUCUUUAUAUAUUCUAAAUACUAGGCUUUGUCAGGUUUUUGGUUUGCACAUAUUUUCUUCUAGUCUGUAGCUUAUUUUUUCAUCAUCUUAACAGGAUAUUUUACAGAGCAAAAGUUUUAAAUUUUGAUGAAUUCCAGUUUACUGAUGUUUGUCUUUUAUGAUUAUGCUUUUGGGGUCAUGUCUAAGCUUUACCUAGUCCCAGAUCACGAAGAUUGUCUUUUUUCCCUAGAAUUUUUACAGUUCUGUUUUAUAUUUAAGUCCAUUAUCCAUUUGAGUUAAUGUUUGCGUGAGACUUAGGUCAAGGUUGUUUUUUAAGCUUGUAGAUGUCCAGUUGUUCAGCACCC